rnacentral:miRNA from 1 species
AAGUCUCUUUGUACCUUCUCU